rnacentral:rRNA from 1 species
CAAUAGCGUAUAUUAAAGUUGUUGCAGUUAAAAAGCUCGUAGUCGGAUUUCGGGGCAGCCUGGCUGGUCCGCCGCAAGGCGAGUACUGGUCAGCCGCCCUUCCUCUCGAAAGCCCCGACUGCUCUUCGUUGCAGUGGUCGGGUAGUUCGGGACGUUUACUUUGAAAAAAUUAGAGUGUUCAAGGCAGGCCUACGCCUGAAUACAUUAGCAUGGAAUAAUGGAAGAGGACCUCGGUCCUAUUUUGUUGGUUUCCAGGGCCGAAGUAAUGAUUAAGAGGGACAGUUGGGGGCAUUCGUAUUUAAUUGUCAGAGGUGAAAUUCUCGGAUUUAUGAAAGACGAACAACUGCGAAAGCAUUUGCCAAGGAUGUUUUCAUUAA